UAUAUCACAAACAUCACCUUGGUCUGUUGGUCAAGCGGCGGGAGAGCGAGCCCGCUCGUCGCGAGUUUGUACUCCCGCUCCCCACGCCGUUGUUGUCUCGGCUGCCCUCUUACUUCUCCAACUCGUCCUGCUCCCAGCUCGCCCUCUUUAUCUGACUCCCGACGAAACAUGGAAGAGGAAGAAGGGGGUCACCAAAGUGGUAUCUCGUUGUUGAUAUCUGGUGCAACAAGGACAAGGGAUGCACCCCCGGUGCUUUCUCCUUCUUCGAUAAACAUUUGCAGAGCUUAUCAUGCGGCUUGUUCUAAACGUGAUACACAACUGGUUGAUUUAGAAGAAGAUGUUGCCGAUGAACAAGAUGUUGACUAUGAAGAAAAGGAAGAGGAAGAUGAUGAGGAUGAAGGAGAAGCAGAGGAAGAUUUUGCCGAUGAAGACGAAAGAGAUGAGGAUGUUGACAUGGGAACAUUUUCUGAACCGGGAAGAAAAUUUCUAUCCAAAGUUUUGAGAGAAUAUGAGCUUAAGUAUGUCGAUGGGACAGUGAUAGCUGCUGAAUGCAAACAUUGUGCAAGGAAGUUUUGUGCUGAGCGUAAACAUGGAACAAGUUCAUUGCGCAAACACUUGAAGAGGAGCGAGGAAAGGAAGAAGGCUCUUAGAGUUUCCGGCCAGCAUAAUGCUUCCAUCAUGAGCCCUGACGGAGUUUCACCACGCCAUUGGACCUUUGAUCAGGCAUUGACACGUAGAGAGCUCAUAAGGAUGAUAGUGUUGCACGAAUUAGCAUUCUCAUUGGUGGAAUAUGAUGGCUUUCGAA